rnacentral:rRNA from 1 species
GCAAGUCGAGCGGUAACAGAGAUAGCUUGCUAUCUGCUGACGAGCGGCGGACGGGUGAGUAAUGCUUGGGAACAUGCCUGGAGGUGGGGGACAACAGUUGGAAACGACUGCUAAUACCGCAUAAUGUCUACGGACCAAAGGGGGCUUCGGCUCUCGCCUUUAGAUUGGCCCAAGUGGGAUUAGCUAGUUGGUAAGGUAAAGGCUUACCAAGGCGACGAUCUCUAGCUGGUUUGAGAGGAUGAUC